UCACCCUGUGAUCCUCAAAUGUGGAGCACUAUUCUGAUGUCCAAGUGGAAAGUGCUGCGACAUUUGAGCGUCACCGGUGA
rnacentral:pre_miRNA from 8 species